AUUGAACGCUGGCGGCAGGCCUAACACAUGCAAGUCGAGCGAGCGGCGGACGGGUGAGUAAUGUCUGGGAAACUGCCUGAUGGAGGGGGAUAACUACUGGAAACGGUAGCUAAUACCGCAUACCAUCAGAUGUGCCCAGAUGGGAUUAGCUAGUUGGUGGGGUAAUGGCUCACCUAGGCGACGAUCCCUAGCUGGUCUGAGAGGAUGACAUGCCACACUGGAACGGAGACACGGAACAGACUCCUACAGGAGGCAGCAGGGGAGAAUAUUGCACAAUGGGAGCAAGCCUGAUGCAGCCAUGCCGCGUGUGUGAAGAGGGCCUUCGGGUUGUAAAGCACUUUCAGCGAGGAGGCGUUACUCGCAGAGGAUGCACCGGCUAACACCGUGCCAGCAGCCGCGGUAAUAC
rnacentral:rRNA from 1 species